AUUGAACGCUGGCGGCAGGCCUAACACAUGCAAGUCGAACGGUAACAGGAAGAAGCUUGCUUCUUUGCUGACGAGUGGCGGACGGGUGAGUAAUGUCUGGGAAACUGCCUGAUGGAGGGGGAUAACUACUGGAAACGGUAGCUAAUACCGCAUAACGUCGCAAGACCAAAGAGGGGGACCUUCGGGCCUCUUGCCAUCGGAUGUGCCCAGAUUGGAUUAGCUAGUAGGUGGGGUAAGGGCUCACCUAGGCGACGAUCCCUAGCUGGUCUGAGAGGAUGACCAGCCACACUGGAACUAAGACACGGUCCAGACUCCUACGGGAGGCAGCAGUGGGGAAUACUGCACAAUGGGCGCAAGCCUGAUGCAGCCAUGCCGCGUGUAUGAAGAAGGCCUUCGGGUUGUAAAGUACUUUCAGCGGGGAGGAAGGGAGUAAAGUUAAUACCUUUGCUCAUUGACGUUACCCGCAGAAGAAGCACCGGCUAACUCCGUG
rnacentral:rRNA from 1 species